CGCUAUUUGUUAUUUGUGAAAACUAUUUUCUCUAAACAAUAUCUACCACACAAAUUCUUCGGCACGCCACAAAAAUGUAUUUCCACCAUCAAAAUGCACAGCCUCAGCCUUGUGCAUUUAGAAAAAAAAAGUAAUACAAAAAUGAUACAAAAACAACCACCAAUUGAUUUGGAAAAUAAAGUGGCGAUCAAUUCCAGACAUCAUUGACUGAGUUUACAGCAGCUUCAGCCUUGAGCAUUUAGAAAAAAAAAAAAUCAAAACAAGAUACAAAAACUACAAACAAA